GAUGAACGCUGGCGGCGUGCUUAACACAUGCAAGUCGAACGAAGCAUAGAUUUAGAAGCCUUCGGGUGGAAGAAUCUAUGACUUAGUGGCGGACGGGUGAGUAACGCGUGGGUAACCUGCCCUAUACAGGGGGAUAACAGUUGGAAACGACUGCUAACACCGCAUAAGCACACAGGAUCGCAUGAUCAAGUGUGAAAAUAUUAAUAGGUAUAGGAUGGGCCCGCGUCUGAUUAGCUAGUUGGUAAGGUAACGGCUUACCAAGGCAACGAUCAGUAGCCGGCUUGAGAGAGUGACCGGCCACAUUGGGACUGAGACACGGCCCAAACUCCUACGGGAGGCAGCAGUGGGGAAUAUUGCACAAUGGGGGAAACCCUGAUGCAGCGACGCCGCGUGAGUGAAGAAGUAAUUCGUUAUGUAAAGCUCUAUCAGCAGGGAAGAAAAUGACGGUACCUGACUAAGAAGCCCCGGCUAAAUACGUGCCAGCCGCCGCAGUA
rnacentral:rRNA from 1 species